GGCUUCUUCUUGGCUGUAAAUUGUAAAAUUUGCCUCAGACAAUCUCGGGACGCCGAGAGAGAAGGCAGCUUGGCUUGGGAGCCAUUCUGAAGACCUGGGUCGGAAGAAAGAAAGAAAGAAAGAAAGAAAGAAAGAAAGAAAGAAAGGGCAGCCGCGGCUAGAAGGCCCGAAGAGACAGGCUCCGUUUCUGAAGCAGAAAUGGCAAAGCCUUGUGAAACGGAUGGAAGAAAUAAAGGCAAAAUUUUUGAAAAUUUCCACAGCUUUUUCUAAAGGGACCAGCGCUGAAUUCAAGUCAACGUGAAGAAAGAAACAAAAGGUCGAGAGACAGAGGACGGAAGAUGCUUGAAGACACCCUCGCAAGGACACCGCCUGCCUCCCAAAAAAGGUCGUUUUCAGGGUAAUUGGUGUAAGGGUAGGCAUUUAAUGUCUAUCUUUGCAUUAAAAAAAGGGUUACCUUUGCACACGGUUCCCCUCGCGUGUGGCAUCGAAGAAGUCCCACUCGGGAAUGGACGGGUCCUCCCUUUGUUCUAGGCAGAUGAUGGGUCUUCCUAUACGGGCCGUAGGGGUCACAGCUUGGGGGUCAGCGGGGGGCCCCGCCCUGGCAUCGUGGGGGGCAGCACACAUUACGGGCAUUUUAAGAUGUCCUUGCAACUUAGAAAUAAAAAUAUCAAUACCUUAACUCACUUACUAACUAAUAAUUAUUAUUAUUAUUGAUUCGAGGCACCUGGAAAAAGAAAUACCAGGAAGCAGAUAAAAUUAUUAUUAUUAUUACUGAUUCGAGGCACCUGGAAAAAGAAAUACCAGGAAGCAGAUAUUAUUAUUAUUAUUAUUAUUAUUAUUAUUAUUAUUAUUAUUAUUAUUGAUUCCAGGAAAAAGAAAUACCAGGAAGCAGAUAAAAUUAUUAUUAUUGUUACUGUUGUUGUUAUUAUGUAGGACCCCCUUUUAUUUAUGUAAGGCCACACACCCAGGGGACCACUAUUCCUAAUUAAAGCCUGGUUAAAGGGGAUCCUCUAUUCUUAAAGUUAGGCGUAUAGAGAUCUCCUAUCCAGAAACUAACGCGGCCUGCCCUAUAGAGAUCUGUUAAACCAAGGUGGCCUGCCCUAUAGAGAUCUCCUAUUUCACGUAAUACCAGGCAAUAUGGAGAUCCCUGGUUUUUUUUAACAGUUAAAUCCCUUACGUGGGAAUAUCCCUGGUUUUUUUUAACCGUUAAAUCCCUUACGUGGGGAAAUCCCUGGUUAUUUUAACCAUUAAAUCCCUUACGUGGGGAGAUCCCUGGUUAUUUUAACCUUUAAGUCCCUAACGUGGGGAAAUCCCUGGUUUUUUUAAUCUUUAAGGCCAGAUGUGGGGAUUUCCUUGCUUCUUUUAACCCGUAAGGCCAGCCAUGGGGAGAUAUCUUAGGCUGUUUUCACGAAAAGUCAGGUAUAGACGCACUGUUUUCUCUCCCGUUCCAUGUGCCUGGGCUCCUGCCGGACACCGUCUCCCAUCAGCCGAGAGGGAUCCUUCUUGUCUAGGAAGGAUCUGCAACACAGGUAAAAAGAAGAUUCCGGGAAGGAGAUUCUACAGCGGAGCCCUUAAGCCAGGUGAGACACUCCUUCCAGCCUCCACGGCUGCCUUGCACACACACACACACACGACACACACAACACACAUACACAUGUACAGCUGGGGUCCACGGGGACUCUUCCCCAAUAGAUCGGGGACUCCCACUCCGGCGAUUGGCCAUUGUAAAUGCCUUGAAGCAGUUUGGGGCUUCCGGCCAAGCGCUUGCAAAGAGAAUCCAUUCAAGGUUGGACCCCCUUUUAAAGGGCCUGGCACGUGGUAUUUAUUCCUGGCACGUGGAAAACUCCAUUUGUAAGGCAAACCCUCGUUAAAGGAGGUUUGCAAUUAAUUUAAAACCAGGCUUCUGAGGGACCCGCUGCGUUUAAAGCCAAACCUAGCAGGUGGGAACCCCUUUGGUUAACGUAAGGCGAGGGACCCUCCAUAUUUAAUAAGAUGCCUGGCAGAAUCUUAACCUAAAUGCAGGCCUAUGGGCUACAGCCUAUUCUGCAUAGCCAGGCGUGGGGGGACCCCAGAUUAUUAACUUGAGGCCUGGGAAAAGGAGAUUUUUGUAUUUAUUUAUUACAAUAUUUAUAUCCCGCCCUCUCUCCCCUUAAAAGGGGACUCAGAGCAGCUUACGUUAUAUUUACAUAUUUAUUUAUUACAAUAUUUAUAUCCCGACCUCUCCCCUUAAAAGGGGACUCAGAGUGGCUUACAAGUUAUAUUUACAUAUUUAUUUAUUACAAUAUUUAUAUCCCGCCCUCUCUCCCCUUAAAAGGGGACUCAGAGCAGCUUACAAGUGAUAUUUACAUAUUUAUUUAUUACAAUAUUUAUAUCCGGCCCUCUCUCCCCUUAAAAGGGGACUCAGAGCGGCUUACAAGUGAUAUUUACAUAUUUAUUUAUUACAAUAUUUAUAUCCCACCCUUCUCACCCAACAGGGGACUCAGGGCGGCUUAACAAUAAGACGCAUAUAUAAAAAACCAUACAGUGCAAUAUAAAUCAUCAUUAACUUACAUCAGUAUUCAUAAAACACAUUAUAAAAUACAGAUAGGUGUGUUCAGUUCAAAUCCAUUCAAGGUAUACGUGGACCCCCUUUUAAUGCCAACCUUUCCACGUGGAAAACUCCAUUUGUAAGGCAAACCCUCGUUAAAGGAGGUUUGCAAUUAAUUUAAAACCAGGCUUCUGAGGGACCCGCUGCGUUUAAAGCCAAACCUAGCAGGUGGGGAACCCCUUUGGUUAACGCAAGGUGAGGGACCCUCUAUUUUUAAUAGGAUGCCUGGGAGAAUCUUAACCUAAAUGCAGGCCUAUGGGCUACAGCCUAUUCUGCAUAGCCAGGCAUGGGGGGACCCCAUAUGAUGAAUUUGAAGCCUGGUAAAAGGAGAUUUUUGUAUUUAUUAACUUACUACAUUUAUAUCCCGCCCUCUCUCCCCUUAAAAGGGGACUCAGAGCGGCUUACGAGUUAUAUUUACAUAUUUAUUUAUUUAUUACAAUAUUUAUAUCCCGCUGUCUCCCCUUAAAGGGGACUCAGCGGCUUACGAGUUAUAUUUACAUAUUUAUUUAUUUAUUACAAUAUUUAUAUCCCGCUGUCUCUCCCCUUAAAGGGGACUCAGAGCGGCUUACAAGUUAUAUUUACAUAUUUAUUUAUUUAUUACAAUAUUUAUAUCCCGCCCUCUCUCCCCUUAAAGGGGACUCAGGGCAGCUUAACAAUAAAACGCAUAUAUAAAAACCAUACAGUGCAAUAUAAAUCAUCAUUAACUUACAUCAGUAUUCAUAAAACACAUCAUAAAAUACAGAUAGGUGUAUUACAUACACUGUAUCAUUAGCAUCGCACAAUAUUAGCAUUAUAUACUACAUUGUAUUAUACCACUAGACAGAAACAUUAUUAGCAAUAUUACAUUUAAUAUAUAAUAUGUAAUUCAUAUUAUAUUGUAUCAUUGUUAGUAUUAUAUUGCAUUAUUUAUUUAUUUGCUAGAUGUAUAUGCUGCCCUUCUCACCCCCAAGGUGAACAGCUUACAAAUUAAAUUUACAUACAAUAUUAUAUUAUAACCAUAGUACAAUACUGGCAGUAAAUUACUAUAUUGUACUAUAUGAAUAUAUGGUAAUAUUAUUAGUAGUAUUACAUGCAAAAUGUAAUACAUAAUUAAUAUUAUAUUUAAUUAUUAGUAUAUCGUUUUACAAUAUAAUAUGAACAUUAUAUGUAUAUGCAAUAUGUUAUAAUUAUAUAUUAAAUUUUAUAUAUAUAUACAUAUAUAUGUAUAUAUAUGUGUGUGUGUGUGUGUGUGUGUGUGUGUGUGUGUGUGUAUACACACACACAUACAUAUAUAUACACACAGUAGAGUCAUCCAACAUAAAUGGGCCAGCGAAUAUUUAUUUAUUUAUUUACAGUAUUUUACCGGGCUGGCCUCAAACUCAUGAUCUCCUGGUCAGAGUGAUUUGUUGAUAUUUAUUAUUCAUUUACAGCAUGUAUAUUCCGCCCUUCCUUCUCACCCCGAAGGGGACUCAGGGCGGAUCACAUGACACAUAUAGGCAAACAUUCAAUGCCUUUUAACAUAGAACAAAGACAAACAAACAGGCUCCGAGCGGGCCUCGAACUCGUGACCUCCUGGUCAGAGUGAUUCAUUGCAGUUAAUUGCAGCUGGCUUGCUUUCCAGCCUGCGCUGUUGGAUAAUAAGGAGGCAUUAUGGAAAAGCCUAUUAAACAUCAAAUUAGUUGAUGAUUUUACAAAUUAAGCACCAAAACAUCAUUUGACAGAAAAAGUAGUUCAAUAUGCAGUAAUGCUAUGUAGUAAUUACUGUAUUUACGGAUUUAGCACCAAAAUAUCACGACGCAUUGAAAACAUGGACUACAAAAAUGCGUUGAAUAAUCCAGAAUGUUGGAUAAGAGAGUGUUGGAUGAGACUACUGUAUAUACAAUAUAAAUUAGAAUAGCAUGUUAUUGGGGGAGGAGCAUCUUGGUUAUUAGAUGUUUUUAUUAGUUAUUGAUAUUAGUAUAGAUAUGACAUUGAGUAUAUAUUAUCCUAGCACAAUGUUAAUAUUAGUUAUUGAUAUUAGUCUCCAUAUGACAUUAAUAGAGUAUAUUAUUAUUCUAGCUCAAUGUUAUUACAUAGGACAAUGUUGUUGCUAGGGGGAGGGCCCCCCCACUGAUUGUAUUAUUAGUAUUAUGUUGUUGCUAGGGGGAGGGCCCCCCAACUGAGGUCCCCUGUCAUUAAUGUGUCAGACCAGGCAUUUCACUCCUACCUUUGCAUCAGAAAGCAGGCUCCCUGUGCGCUAGGCCUUCCUUUGAGGAACACAUUCACAGCUCCGCUUGAGUGUGGCAUUGAGGCCCCACUCAGGGACGGGCGGGUCCUCCCUUUGCCCUGGGCAGAUCGUGGGGGGUGGGCGGAUCUCCCUAGACGGGCAGGGGGUCGCGGCUGGCGGGACAGCGGGAUAUAAAAAUAUAAAUAUAUAUAUAAAAACCCUUGCACCCAAGGAAACAACUCUGGGGACCCGAGCGGCUGCUCCCAGCUCACGUCACGGGCAUUUUAAACAUCUCGUAGCAGCUCAGAUUAAUACCUGAACUAACCUUAACCUGCUAACCCUACUAACCCAUUUCUAACUAGAGCAGGAAUUUUAAAUAGGGCUGUUUUUGCCUGUUGGCAAGAACCAAGCCGGGAGGGGGCGUCCGGGCCUCGGGUGGGAAGAACCCUAACCCUGUCCCUGCCCUGCGCUGGGAGCGGCCCCCCCCCCUCGGGACCCCAGUGUUUGGUCCCCGCUCUCCCCCAAUCCGACGGCCUAGAAAGCCCCUCCGCCAUCCGCCCAGGGCCAACGGACAGCCCUCCCUCCCCGGCAGCUGCGUUCCUCAUGCAACAGGGAGCCUGGUUCUGGAUGCAAACGUGGGACCCCCUUAGGACCCCCUUUUCUCUGUGCAGGGACCCCCGCUCCCCAUAAAUAAAUGCCUGGUGGAAGGGGAUCCUAGUAGAAAAAGCCACAGUUCCCAAGAGCCCCCAAAAGCGAGAUGCUCCCUUGGUUCAGCCCUUCUGACACUUGUUUUCUCCCUUGUUCUAUGUCUCCGGAAUCGCCGAGGGAGGGGCUCCUCCUGGACAAGAGCCAAGGACGGACAGAUGGACGGACGGACGGACGGAAGGAGAUCCCAGAGAGCAGGACGCCUUGCCUUUCUGGCUGCUGAGCUUGACCCCUUUCCAACAAUGUCAGCGUUCAAGAAUAAAACUCUUCCCAAAAAAAGGUGUUUUCUGGUUAUUAUUCAAACGUUUAAUUUUUGACAGCCUUAAACAUCUAGAUUACAAUACAGUUUGUGCUGCUGCCUUUUAUAAACUUUGUUUUCUACAAAUAAAGUCAAGAGAAACACUAUAAGUUUUGCACUGUGCUCAGACUCAUUGUUCUGAUAUUCUGUUAUAUGGUUUUAUUAUUUAUAUCGUUUUUAAUGUAUGACUUUAUUACAUGUGACAUGGGAGCGGGGUAUAAAAAUAAAGUAUUAUUAUUAAUAAACACCACAAUUUUCUUGCACCCCAAGUACAUCUGGCCAUUGCCAAAGAGUAUUUAACUCUGCCUACAUGGCACUAAAGUGUAUUUAUAUGUUGAUUGUUUCUAUUGAUUUUAUGUAAUGUUUGCUUUGUUUGCAUUGAAUUUUUGUCUGGAUGUAUCUUGUAUGCCGCUCAUCUCCAUAAAUGAGCGGGAUAGAAAUGAGGUUAAUAAUUUGACGAAUGUUUUAAUGUAACUUGAAUUUUAAAUUGAGUUGUAAUGUGAUUGUAAUUGUUUAUAAGUGUUAUCUAUUUGUAAACCACCCUGAGUCUCCUCUUAUUGGGUGAGAAGGUCUGGGAAGAAAUACAGAAUAAAAUAUUCUGUGUCCAGGUUGCUUCAUGGGUUGACUUUUCUGGCAGGAUUAAUCUGCAGGGCCUUUCCUGUGGGAAAGUUUACACAGGGACUAACAAGCAUGGAGCAGGGAAGGCACUGCAGACAGUCCUGCGCAUGCGCGGACUGCUCCCUAGUAGAAACUUGGCCCCGCCCACUACAGGCACCCCUUUCCCUUCUGGUCUUUCUAUGUUCCAUUUCGCAUUGCGGGGGUCUCUUUACUUUUCAUACCUCUAUGUUCUAUUUCCGCAUUGCAGGGGCGCUCUUUACUUUUCGUUCCUCUAUGUUCCUCCUAUCCCUCCCUUUCCCGCCUCCGCCCUCUUCUCCCAUUGGUUGUUGCUUGGGAGAUCCCGCCCCUUUCCCCUUCCUUCGCUCCCUCAUUGGUCGAAGCGCGUCCUGGCAGAUAUGUAGGGCGGGGGCGUUUCCCAUCGUAGCCGCAAUAAUACAAAAUAAAAAAUAAUAUCAGAGAUAUAUAGUAUUCGAGCUUAUUAAUAAUCGUUACGUAUGAUUAUGUUGUUUGAAUAUUAGGUCCAUGGAUGUGUCAGGGUUGGCGACGGAAGGGACGGGUUGUGUGAUGGACCUGCCAGGACUUGGGGGCGGGGCAAGGGGCGUGGCCUGGCGCGUGAGAGCCGGGGAAGGGAACAGCCAAGAUGGCGGCCGGGCAGUGGCCCAUGUACAUGCUGGACUACGGCGGCCUCAAUGUUCCGCUUCCGGGAGCCAUGAAUUAUUCGGACCUCAGUUUCUGAACCAGAACCUCCGAACAAAACAAAACAAAAGAAAUAAUGAACGGUGUGUAAUUUCCGUUUGUACAAAGUGUAUAUUAUUCCAAUAUGUAUUGAUGCCUUUCAGUUUUUCCAAUGAUUUUUACACUAUAUUCCUGCCGCCAGGGCCUUUUUAAAUAAAAAAAGAAUAAGAAGGGUUGCCUUGCUCUGAAAAAUCAAA